rnacentral:lncRNA from 1 species
GAGCGUGUGCCUGGUCGCGUUGAACGCAGGAUUGGGCGCGGCAGCUCGGUCGGUGAGCGGCAGUGGCGGACAGGAGAGAGGGAGGGGUACUGCAGGCGAGGGCACUGUAGGCGAGGUGACAAGGCGAGCGGUGUGACGCAAGCAUGCGCGAAACUAGCGGCUCUACCGUGGCACGCUACUGGCGAGGCAGGGGAGGAGUUGUCACUGCCUGCAUGGCAGUUGGCGGAGACGGCAGCAUCGCGGGGCGCGCGCACGCGGGCAGCGCGACUGAGGUGUGACGGGAGGGUCGAAAGGUGUUGGGGCGCGCGGCCGGGGAUCCGGGUGAGACAGAUGGGGAUCCGGGUGAGACGGAUGCGCGCGGGAGGCGAGGUGGUACCGGCGCGGCAGUGGCC